rnacentral:ncRNA from 2 species
AAGAGUCACUAGAGGUGCUUUUGAAUGAAAAGCUGAGAGAAGGCUAUAAGUCUUCAACUCUUUGAACCUGAUCUUGUUUAUACCAGCGUAGGGAAGUGAAAACGUUAUGAU